rnacentral:rRNA from 1 species
UACGUAGGGUGCAAGCGUUAAUCGGAAUUAUUGGGCGUAAAGGGCGCGUAGGCGGCUUGGCAAGUGGAUGGUGAAAUCCCUCGGCUUAACCGAGGAACUGCCGUCCAAACUGCUUCGCUUGAGACCGGGAGAGGUGAGUGGAAUUCCCAGUGUAGCGGUGGAAUGCGUAGAUAUUGGGAGGAACACCAGUGGCGAAGGCGGCUCACUGGACCGGUACUGACGCUGAUGCGCGAAAGCGUGGGGAGCAAACGGG